GGAACGAGUUUCUGACCUUCGGGGGACGAUAACGGCGUCGAGCGGCGGACGGGUGAGUAAUGCCUAGGAAAUUGCCCUGAUGUGGGGGAUAACCAUUGGAAACGAUGGCUAAUACCGCAUAAUACCUWCGGGUCAAANGAGGGGGACCUUCGGGCCUCUCGCGUCAGGAUAUGCCUAGGUGGGAUUAGCUAGUUGGUGAGGUAAUGGCUCACCAAGGCGACGAUCCCUAGCUGGUCUGAGAGGAUGAUCAGCCACACUGGAACUGAGACACGGUCCAGACUCCUACGGGAGGCAGCAGUGGGGAAUAUUGCACAAUGGGCGCAAGCCUGAUGCAGCCAUGCCGCGUGUGUGAAGAAGGCCUUCGGGUUGUAAAGCACUUUCAGUCGUGAGGAAGGUGGUGUAGUUAAUAGCUGCAUYAUUUGACGUUAGCGACAGAAGAAGCACCGGCUAACUCCGUGCCAGCAGCCGCGGUAAUACGGAGGGUGCGAGCGUUAAUCGGAAUUACUGGGCGUAAAGCGCAUGCAGGUGGUUUGUUAAGUCAGAUGUGAAAGCCCGGGGCUCAACCUCGGAAUAGCAUUUGAAACUGGCAGACUAGAGUACUGUAGAGGGGGGUAGAAUUUCAGGUGUAGCGGUGAAAUGCGUAGAGAUCUGAAGGAAUACCGGUGGCGAAGGCGGCCCCCUGGACAGAUACUGACACUCAGAUGCGAAAGCGUGGGGAGCAAACAGGAUUAGAUACCCUGGUAGUCCACGCCGUAAACGAUGUCUACUUGGAGGUUGUGGCCUUGAGCCGUGGCUUUCGGAGCUAACGCGUUAAGUAGACCGCCUGGGGAGUACGGUCGCAAGAUUAAAACUCAAAUGAAUUGACGGGGGCCCGCACAAGCGGUGGAGCAUGUGGUUUAAUUCGAUGCAACGCGAAGAACCUUACCUACUCUUGACAUCCAGAGAACUUUCCAGAGAUGNAUUGGUGCCUUCGGGAACUCUGAGACAGGUGCUGCAUGGCUGUCGUCAGCUCGUGUUGUGAAAUGUUGGGUUAAGUCCCGCAACGAGCGCAACCCUUAUCCUUGUUUGCCAGCGAGUAAUGUCGGGAACUCCAGGGAGACUGCCGGUGAUAAACCGGAGGAAGGUGGGGACGACGUCAAGUCAUCAUGGCCCUUACGAGUAGGGCUACACACGUGCUACAAUGGCGCAUACAGAGGGCAGCAAGCUAGCGAUAGUGAGCGAAUCCCAAAAAGUGCGUCGUAGUCCGGAUUGGAGUCUGCAACUCGACUCCAUGAAGUCGGAAUCGCUAGUAAUCGUGGAUCCAGAAUGCCC
rnacentral:rRNA from 1 species